CACCUCUUCCCAUUCCGAACAGAGAAGUUAAGCCCAAUAGCGCCGAUGGUACUGCACACAAGUGGGAGAGUAGGUAGCCGCCGUCC
rnacentral:rRNA from 1 species